GCCGAGGUGGCGAAAUUGGCAGACGCACUAGCCUUAGGAGCUAGUAUUCGAAAGAAUGUGAGGGUUCAACUCCCUCCCUCGGCA
rnacentral:tRNA from 3 species